rnacentral:lncRNA from 1 species
GCGAUACAGUAGAACAGUGGAGUAGUGUGUAAGCUGCCCGCGGAGCGAAAUGCGGGCGCCGCGAAAAGCCCUACUGAAGCCAAAUGUUUGCAACGCCAGCAGGCGCGCUGCUCCCAUGCUUAGGCGUCCACUUACCGCCUUGGAGGUGAAGUUCUCCGAGGCAAUCAGCUCCAGGCCACGGACCUGCAUUGGGCAGCAGGCGUGCAGUCAGCGACACCACACACUAGGAGUCACGCCGCCACGGUUCCCUCUAAGAACGCCGCUCAAUUGCCUUGCAUGACUCUGACAUGGUAACAUAUCUUUGACAGGUGUCAUUUACGCGCCCUGAGCGCACCUGGCGAGACUUCUCCUUGGUGAUGAGAGCACUAAUCUCCGGGUCGACCUCAGAAAGAGCGCCAUCAUACUGGAACAGCUUCUUGCCUGUAGAGCGAAACGUCGGAAUAUUAAAAAUCUCGCUAGGGUGUUGUGCUUGACUUUGGGUGUGGCGGCAGCCCCAAGCGACGAUUCGAUUGCAAAGUAGGCCACUUGCCCGAGGUAGGAGCGGGGGGAGCGACAGUGGCCUGGACGGACACGGUGCGGCGCGAAGCGCGCGCGCUGCGGGCGGCACCGCCGGAGGGCAGACGCUGCUGAAGCUGCAUUCUCAAAGGUGUUGUGUCGCCAACACUGACAACUAACUUAAUUAGUUGAUGUAAUAUUGCGCUCUGCAGACCAAGUUGUCAGCGCUAGUAAUAGGAAAGGUCUGGGGCACGCGAGGACUAAACGCGACUUGUCCAUGUCGGCACGUUUCCAUGCGCCGUGCAUGACCACGCC